rnacentral:rRNA from 1 species
GAUUAACGCUAGCGGCAGGCCUAAUACAUGCAAGUCGAACGGUAACAGGUGUAGCAAUACAUGCUGACGAGUGGCGCACGGGUGCGUAACGCGUAUGCAACCUACCUAUAACUGGGGAAUAGCUCUUCGAAAGAAGAAUUAAUACCGCAUAAAAUUUUGGGAGACAUCUCCCGAUUAUCAAAACUCCGGUGGUUAUAGAUGGGCAUGCGUGACAUUAGCUAGNGGUGAGGUAACGGCCCACCAAGGCUACGAUGUCUAGGGGGUCUGAGAGGAUGAUCCCCCACACUGGUACUGAGACACGGACCAGACUCCUACGGGAGGCAGCAGUAAGGAAUAUUGGAACAAUGGGGGCAACCCUGAUCCAGCCAUGCCGCGUGAAGGAUGGAAGGCGCUCUGCGUUGUAAACUUUCUUUUAUACGGGAAAUAACACACGCUACGUGUAG